rnacentral:misc_RNA from 1 species
AACGCACAUUGCGCCCCCUGGCAUUCCGGGGGGCAUGCCUGUUCGAGCGUCAUUACAACCCUCAAGCUCUGCUUGGUGUUGGGCGUCGUCAUCUGUGGCGCGCCUCAAAGUCAGUGGCGGUGCCGUCCGGCUCCAAGCGUAGUAACUGUUCUCGCUCUAGGGGCCUGGGCGCGUGCUAGCCAGCAACCCACACUACUCAAAGGUUGACCUCGGAUCAGGUAGGGAUACCCGCUGAACUUAA